rnacentral:rRNA from 1 species
ACACGUAGGGCGCAAGCGUUGUCGGGAUUUAUUGGGCGUAAAGGGCUCGUAGGCGGUUUCGUAAGUCGGGUGUGAAAACUCAGGGCUCAACCCUGAGGCGCCACUCGAUACUGCGAUGACUUGAGUCCGGUAGGGGAGCAGGGAAUUCCUGGUGUAGCGGUGAAGUGCGCAGAUAUCAGGAGGAACACCAUUAGCGAAGGCGCUGCUCUGGGCCGGUACUGACGCUGAGGAGCGAAAGCAUGGGGAGCAAACAGGAUUAGAAACCCUAGUAGUCC